rnacentral:lncRNA from 1 species
GUACUCUCCUGUAUCCAUUCCCUCCCCCUUUUCAAGACAGGCCUUCAUGCAGCACGUCUUCCUUUGGUAGCAUCAAUGACUUUCAUUUUCUGGCUCCAGGGCAAUUCCUCCACAAUGCCGUGCUGCUAAAGGACAGGGUCUCUGUGACCCUUGAAUUAAGUGACUUUGGUCAUAGCUCUGUUGCAACUGUCAGGCAAUAUUCUUUUCUUUCUUAUAAAAAGAAUGAUUGGCAAUCAGGAAAAUCUCAUUCCUUAUUCUUCAUUCAUCCUCUUUAUACCAGCUGGUCGUCUCCUUCCAGGGAUGUGGCUGAAUUGAUGCUAAACUAUGGAACGUAUUGUCCUCUCUACUCCG